UACGGAGGGUGCGAGCGUUGUCCGGAAUCAUUGGGCGUAAAGGGCUCGUAGGCGGCCAACUAAGUCCGACGUGAAAUCCCCAGGCUUAACCUGGGAACUGCGUCGGAUACUGGAUGGCUUGAAUUCGGGAGAGGGAUGCAGAAUUCCAGGUGUAGCGGUGAAAUGCGUAGAUAUCUGGAGGAAUACCGGUGGCGAAGGCGGCUCACUGGCCCGGUACUGACGCUGAGGUGCGAAAGCGUGGGGAGCAAACAGGG
rnacentral:rRNA from 1 species